AUGCAUCAAAGAAAGAAUUAUAAGUUUUAUUUCUUAUCAUUUAAUUAUGUUUUUAAGAUAGAAAAACAAAUAGUUUCUCCCAUCAAAAAGCUUGAAUUAACGUUUCUGAAAUGGCGCGUAGGAAUACAUAUAGGCAAGAAUGAAAACAAAAACAAAACGGCAUGGCUGUGCGUUCAGGUCAGGAACAGUUACUGUGCAGAUUUAAAUGGAUUAUACGCCAAAUUAAAGGUGCAAUGGUUAAAAGCUGAAUUAAAUAUAAAGGAAGAUAACAAGUGGUGACUGGAUUUAUGCUGCAUCGUGUUGGAGGAGACGUUGAACACUGGCUGUGUCGUUGGAACGGUGGAAUGCAAUUCGGCUCCAUUUCAAUAUCGAGGAAAACGUUCAAAACGCACUCGUUGACUGAGCCCCAUAUAACGCAGUUCAAUUUCAUUGAUAUUUACUAGAUCAGAAGUCACCACUUGCUCCGUCAUGUUAUCGAUCUCGUAAAGCAGACGAUUCAUACCGGGAACUCGUGUAAUCUGUCUACUUCUACCAGGAGGUGACCAUUCUACAUUUAUCCAGUGCCUUUUUAUGGGAUUCGAAACUGUGACUGUGAGAUGUAUGAGAGUUUGACUUCUAGGCGGACAAUUCUACUUUCACUUUAAACAGAUGGCAGGUGCCUGAGUGUAUCUCGACCCAUUUCCAGGCUAGCAUCAGAUGUCAUGAUGGACCUUUAAAAUCUUUCACAUGUGUACUUUCAAGAACCAUAUACAUUAUUUUUGAAAAUUGGUUGCCAUGGUAAUAAAAUCUGAAAAUUAAAA